GACAACCGAAAAUUAGCAAUAGUCCAUUUAAUGGUGUAUCCUUCUUCAUGCAGGCACACGCCAUGCUGGUGCCCAGGGAGUGGGGGAUGAUGUGCUGGUGCCUGAACUACGAGAAGCUGACCCUGGAGGCGUGCAAGGACCUGUUGUAGCAGCAGCCGCCCAUGCUCCAAACCCGUUGUUCGUCGUCAAAGGGACACGCCAUGUUGAGGUACAGGGAACAGGGGAGCUUGAAGUACGAGAAGCUGACCCUAGAAGCUUGCAAGGACCUGUUGUCGCAGCGGUCGCCCAAGCUCCGAACCCCUUGUUGGUUAUCCAAGGCGGACGCCGCGGUAACAUCCAGGGAGCAGGGGAUGAUGUGAUAGUGCCCGAACUACAAGAAGCUGACCCUGAAGGCGUGCAAGGACUUUCGUUGUUGCAACGGCUGCCCGAGCUCUGAACCCCUUGCUCGUCGUUGAUGAAGGCACACGGCAUGCUGACGUCCUGGGAACAGGGGACGCUGUGCUGGUGGCUGAACCACGUGAAGCUGGCCCUGGAGGCGUGAAGGCAGGCAAGUAGUGAUGUGUAUGCAGCGCACACGGCAGCUAUUAGUUAUCUGUGCCACGAUAUAGUGCGUGCGUUGCAUACAUGAGUAGUCUUUCCAAGUACUAGCUAGGAUCUAUGCCUCCAAUCUCAUUUCCCUUCCUGAUCGGUGAAAGCAAUAUACAGCACACCGUGUUCCUAUAUAUCCCCGUUAUUACAGAUUCUAAUGCACCUAUCCAUUGGGCCAAAAAGAAAGGAAUAACCCAUAUGCUAACUGAAAAAUGCGAGACAACCGAAAAUCAGCAAUAGCUCCAUUUUAAUGGUGUGACCCUUGUGCAAUGCAGGCACACCCCAUGCUGAUGUCAUCCAGGGAGUGGGGCGCGAUGAUGUGGGGGUGCCUGGAGUACGAGAAGCUUCAAAACCCUUGUUGGUUGUCUUGUCGGCAACCAUGUCGGUGUUGAGGCGAGGGGAAGGAGGCGCUGGGGCUGGUGCUGGACCUGCGGAGGGUGCAGGGGCGGUGGAGAUGAGGGAGCAGAGUAGAGCGUCAGCUAGCUAGAUGGAGACAUGGAGUGACCCCAUUCUUUUUGUAAAGCUAUUUUGUUGGAUUUGCGCCCUGAUGGUCCCUCGCUGGUUACGAGCAAGAGUGGCAGCUGAGAUUGUCCCUGCUGCUUGCCUUUCUACUGUCUAACUGUUGCAGGAUGACUGGACAGUCAGUGCAUCCUCUCUUUUUGAUCGGCAAAACCAUCAUUUCUGCUUCGUACUCCCCCGUUCAGAAAUACUUGUCUUAGCCUUAGCACAAUUCUAUACUAAAGCUAGUAUAAAGUUGAUACAAUUAUUUUGAAACGGAGGGAGUACUUGACAUGAGCUGACAUUACAAACCCAUUAUUUGCUGGUGCUG